rnacentral:rRNA from 1 species
AUUGAACGCUGGCGGCAGGCCUAACACAUGCAAGUCGAGCGGUAGAGAGGAGCUUGCUUCUCUUGAGAGCGGCGGACGGGUGAGUAAUGCCUAGGAAUCUGCCUGGUAGUGGGGGAUAACGUUCGGAAACGGACGCUAAUACCGCAUACGUCCUACGGGAGAAAGUGGGGGAUCUUCGGACCUCACGCUAUCAGAUGAGCCUAGGUCGGAUUAGCUAGUUGGUGAGGUAAAGGCUCACCAAGGCGACGAUCCGUAACUGGUCUGAGAGGAUGAUCAGUCACACUGGAACUGAGACACGGUCCAGACUCCUACGGGAGGCAGCAGUGGGGAAUAUUGGACAAUGGGCGCAAGCCUGAUCCAGCCAUGCCGCGUGUGUGAAGAAGGUCUUCGAAUUGUAAAGCACUUUAAGUUGGGAGGAAGGUCAGUAGCUUAAUACGUUGCUGAUUUGACGUUACCGACAGAAUAAGCACCGGCUAACUCUGUGCCAGCAGCCGCAGUAACAC